rnacentral:rRNA from 1 species
AAUGAACGCUGGCGGCGUGCCUAACACAUGCAAGUCGAACGAGAAAGCCUGGCUUGCCAGGCAAGUAAAGUGGCGCACGGGUGAGUAACGCGUGGGUAAUCUACCUUUGUCUGGGGGAUAACCUACCGAAAGGUGGGCUAAUACCGCAUAACGUGGUCGGGUUGCGACCUGAUCACCAAAGAUGGCCUCUCCAUGGAAGCUAUCGGGUGGAGAUGAGCCCGCGUCCCAUUAGCUAGUUGGUAAGGUAAAGGCUUACCAAGGCGACGAUGGGUAGCUGGUCUGAGAGGAUGGCCAGCCACACUGGAACUGGAACACGGUCCAGACUCCUACGGGAGGCAGCAGUGAGGAAUCUUGCGCAAUGGGGGCAACCCUGACGCAGCAACGCCGCGUGAGUGAAGAAGGCCUUCGGGUCGUAAAGCUCUGUCAAGUGGGAAGGAUAGCCUUAAGACGAAUACUUUUAAGGUCUGACUGUACCACUGGAGGAAGCACCGGCUAACUCCGUGC